UUCUCUCGUCUCCCAGCUCUUUGAUUCCUCUGCAUCGGUGCGAGCUCAUCUUUUCAUCGCUUAGGGAUUUCGCUAAUAUCUGAGAUAUGGAUCUUAACAAACUCUAUCUAAAUGCCCCUCAUUCCAUGGGCACGACCAUCAUCGGCGUCACUUACAACGGAGGAGUUGUUCUCGGAGCCGACUCUCGGACCAGCACUGGCUGCAAAGGGGUGGUACUGCGGUUUAACGUUGGCUGAGUAGGGGUUAUCAGCAAGGGGAAAAGAAUCUCAAGCUCACCAAGAGAGGUGGUUCCUUUCUCUUUGCCAGGAGCUACAUGACGAAUGAAAGGGGUUUGAGUUCAUAGAGAAAGCUCGGGAAGACGAGAGAGAGAUUUGUGUGAAGUGAAAUUAAUAUGGGGAAAAUAUCCCUACCACAUCAUCAUGAUCACAAAUCCUUCAAAAUACUAAAAUACCCUCCUUCAAACCGACGCAAAUAUAAAGAAUCCAAAGGCCACCUUGACGUAGGCUGGCACCCUUGAAAAUGGACUCUCUGACCUUUGUUAGGGAACAGUUGUAAGUCUAAUAUUUUAGACCUAUUGGUGGAUAAGCUUAAAAUUGAUGGUCUGAUCUGUACAUACGCAGCAUAUUGCUGCUGCAUAGCUAAUUGAAAUAACUUUUCCUCAUGCAUUAAUUCAUAUUUAUCAGAUACACCUACCCUUUUAGAAAACAACUAUACAUACGUACACUUAAAUCUUUUAUUUUCUUCGCAUCGUAUGUACACUUAAAUCUUUGUAUAUAUAUAUGCAUAUAUGAUAUUUUAAAUAAUAAAAGCUGGCAGUGUAGAGCAAUUUGUUUGGUACAUAUAGUUAAUCCCAAUAAUAAAAUUUUUAUUCUAAUUAGAUGAUUAAAUAAUUUAAUUCUUAAAAAAUUAUUUUAAAAAAUUAUGAAACACCAGCUUCAUUGACAUGUGUUGAGGAUGAGCUCAGCGAGAGGGUGAAAUGGUGGCAAGUGGCAAGUCAGUUUGGCGAGUUCUCCCUUCGUUAAUGGUGGAACAUCUUGUAUGCUCACUACAUGCGUCAUCCAACCCAUUGAUAUGAUCAAGGUGAGGAUUCAAUUGGGUUAGGGAUCAGCAGCCCAAGUGGCGAGGACCAUGCUUAAGGAGGAGGGCUUUGGUGCCUUUUACAAGCUUCCAUUCCAAUGCAAUAGCUGGCACACGUACAGAAGGGGAAAAAUAAGAAGAAAUGGGACUGUAGUCUUUCAAAAUUGUAACUUAUUAUAAUUUUUUGUCAUUAUAAUUUAUAGGAAAAGACAAUAGUAUCCCUGCCUAAUUAAUUUGGCACUAUUUUUCUUCAAAAAUUUGAGUUAUUAUAUUAAUGGAAUUCAAACAGACAACACAUUUGGUCACUAACGGGAUAUAAUUAUAAUUUGGCA